rnacentral:rRNA from 1 species
UGGGGAAUAUUGCACAAUGGGCGCAAGCCUGAUGCAGCCAUGCCGCGUGUGUGAAGAAGGCCUUCGGGUUGUAAAGCACUUUCAGCGAGGAGGAAGGUGGUGAACUUAAUACGUUCAUCAAUUGACGUUACUCGCAGAAGAAGCACCGGCUAACUCCGUGCCAGCAGCCGCGGUAAUACGGAGGGUGCAAGCGUUAAUCGGAAUUACUGGGCGUAAAGCGCACGCAGGCGGUUUGUUAAGUCAGAUGUGAAAUCCCCGGGCUCAACCUGGGAACUGCAUUUGAAACUGGCAAGCUAGAGUCUCGUAGAGGGGGGUAGAAUUCCAGGUGUAGCGGUGAAAUGCGUAGAGAUCUGGAGGAAUACCGGUGGCGAAGGCGGCCCCCCUGGACGAAGACUGACGCUCAGGUGCGAAAAGGCGUGGGGGAGCAAAACAGGAUUAGAUACCCUGGUAGUCCACGCUGUAAACGAUGUCGAUUUUGGAGGUUGUGCCCCUUGAGGCGUGGCUUCCGGAGCUAACGCGUUAAAUCGACCGCC